GGAAAGUCAACUUUUACAGCUUUAAUAUUCAUUAUGUUAGUUUAUAAACUUUUAUUUUUUUUAAAUAUAAAAUUUAAUUAUUUAACGAAACAUUAAAGUAAUAGUAUUAUGGAAGAAACCAUUCCUAGUAUUAGAUGGAGAUUUUUUUCUGUAUUAGGCAUCUCCAACUAUAAUACCUAAUUUAUUAUUAAAAUUACACCAAAUUUAAAGUUUUGGUGUCAUAUUUUUUCGCCAUUUUCAGCUAUAACACCGAAUAAUACACCAACAGUAAUAUAAUAUAUUAUUUAGUAUUUUCAAUUUUAAUUAUUUUAUAUUUUUAUUAUUUGUAAUUGAUAAAUAACUUUUUUAUCACACUUAGAUUUUAUGUUUUUUUUAAUUUUGAAAUCUUAUAUUUAUAAAAUUUGUUUACAUUUAUAUUUUUUGGUUUAACUGUAUUAUACCUUUUAUUUAUCUAUUUUAAAUAAAAUAUUAUAUUAAAAUUACAAACUAUUAAUUAUGGAAAGAACAUAACAAAAUAAUAUAUUUAUUUUAAUAAAAAAUUAUUAAUUAGUAAUGCAAGUUUAACAAUAUUAUAAAAUAAAAAUGUUAUUUAAUGUUUGGUGAAUUUAAUAGUAUUACAUAAAGUUUUAAUUAUUUACUCUUAAAUAUUCUUUACAAUAGCGUAAUAUUAUUAAUUUUUCAUAAUAAAGAUUAUAAUUAAUAUUUUAAAAUAAAAAUAUAUUACAAUAAAUAAAUUAAAUGAUAUAUUAUAAAAUAAAUGAUAAUAAUCAUUUAGUGAUUUCUUACUUGAAAUUAAAUAAAAUAUAAAAUUUCUAUGAUAUUUUAUUUUUUUAUAAUAUAAAGAAAAUGAUAAUAAUCAAUUAGUAAUUUCUUACUUGAAAAUAAAAUAAAAAUAUUUUAGUUAUGUUAAAAUAAUUAAAAAUACAAAUAAUAUAGUGUACUUAUGUUUACUUACAAAUUUGAACUAAUUAAUAAUAAUAAUUAAACAAAUAAUUGAACUAUAUCAUUAAAUGAAACAUAAUAAAUUUGGUAUAUUGGUGUUCUUUUGGAGUUGGCCUUAGUUCAACGGAACAACUUGUGGUCGUCCAUACCGAAUAAUACCACUGUUACGUGGUUUCCAAUGGUCUAGUGGGAUUUUCAUUAAUAAAGAACGUAGCUAGCUAAUAUAUAAGGCAAGCAAGCACCAUUUUACAAAAUAUAAGAAGAACAAAGAUGGAUCAAAUACAUGACUGAUAGAUUAAAAGAUGAGGAGAGCAGAGGAAGACCGGCGAUUAUGGGGGAUCAAACCAGAACUGCGGCAGGCGGGGACCAAGCGGGUGGCUAAGGGACAGUAAUGCAGAUCAUUUAUCCCUCAGAUAAUCAGAUAUGUAUCUCAUGAAUAUGAACAGGCGGUAAAGUCAAACCAUCAUGCAACCGUCUGUUCCUCUCUUUGCAGAGUUCAUAUAUAGCUGCUUGCCAUACUUGAAGAAUUGCCAGUUUAACCAUAGUCCGAGUGGGCAUUAGGCAGCCACUGUAAAAUAUUAGACCACAUCAACGGCACUGAAGAUGAGUGAAACCUCCGUAGCAUUUCACACCCUUGAAGAGAAAGAGCAUUCAAAUAAGAGGUGAUUGCGAGAUUCAUCAUCUUCCCCGCAUAACAAGCAAAUGUUAUUUUUCUUUCAAAUUUAUUUACCGCUUUAGUUUAUACGUUGUUUAUAUCUUUUUAACAAAUUAAUGAAAAUAUAACUUUAUAACUAAUUAUAUGUAUAAUACUUUCGAGCUUUUACAUUAAAGAUUUAUUUUGUUAAUGUGAAUGCAAAACACAAUUUAACUGCAAAAUACAUCUUAGAUAUUAUACUCUCACCUGUAUAACAAGAAAUUGUAAAUCUCAAUUCUUUUGAAAAGAGUAUUGUUUUAUUUUUAAUAUAUUUAAUUUUAAACAAAGUUACAUUUUAAACCUAGCACUUUAUUUGAUUAAUUAAUAUUUUUUAUUAAUAUAUUAAUACAAGGUAGGAUAUAUAUUUUUGGAUUUAAGAAAUAUAUAUAUAGUAAAACUAUACUCAUUGUAAGAAUAUAUGAAAAUACAGAAACUUACUAAAUUAAAUAGGUUGGUAUAGGCAAAGAUAAAAUAAUUAUUAACAAUACUGUUCCAAAAAACUAUAUUGUUCUAAGGAUAAAAAUGUCAUGAUUAAUCUUGGAAAUUAUAAAUAUUUGGGUUCUAACCAUAUCAAGAACUAAGUUGAUACUACUUUACAGAGUCAAUAUGAGUCUGUAAAAGUCGAUGACAAAAAAAAAAAAAAAGUUGAUACUACUUGACCAGACAAAAAUAAAAUCAUAUUUUAGAUUUCAUUAAAUUUUUUUGAAUCAGAUUAAUCGUGUGUACUGUUGUAGAAGAUUAGUUAAACUAUAAUUCAAAUAUCUUCAGAUUAAAAAAAUAUAAAUAUUCAUAUUUCUUUAUUAUUUUUUUUGAAAAAACGCUAUAAUAAAAAAUAAUGUUUAUUAUAAUAUACUUUAAUAGCAUUUUUCUAAAUUUAGA